rnacentral:rRNA from 1 species
AGAGUUUGAUCAUGGCUCAGGAUGAACGCUAGCGGCAGGCUUAACACAUGCAAGUCGAGGGGCAGCGUGAAGAAGUAGCAAUACGGAUUUGACGGCGACCGGCGCACGGGUGCGUAACGCGUAUGUAACCUACCUUUAACAGGGGGAUAACACUGAGAAAUUGGUACUAAUACCCCAUAAUACUUUAGGAGGCAUCUCCUUUGGUUGAAAGUUCCGGCGGUUAAAGAUGGACAUGCGUUGUAUUAGCUAGAUGGUGAGGUAACGGCUCACCAUGGCGACGAUACAUAGGGGGACUGAGAGGUUAACCCCCCACACUGGUACUGAGACACGGACCAGACUCCUACGGGAGGCAGCAGUGAGGAAUAUUGGUCAAUGGACGCAAGUCUGAACCAGCCAUGCCGCGUGCAGGAAGACGGCUCUAUGAGUUGUAAACUGCUUUUGWACAAGGGUAAACCCUGGGACGUGUCCCAGGCUGAAAGUACUGUACGAAUAAGGAUCGGCUAACUCCGUGCCAGCAGCCGCGGUAAUACGGAGGAUGCGAGCGUUAUCCGGAUUUAUUGGGUUUAAAGGGAGCGUAGGCG